rnacentral:rRNA from 1 species
CGAAGUAGCAAUACUUAGUGGCAGACGGGUGAGUAACAUGUAGGUAUCUGCCCUUUGGCCUGGAAUAACACGAGGAAACUUGUGCUAAUACCGGAUGAGUCUUUACGGAGAAAGCUUUAUGCACCAUUGGAUGAGCCUGCACUUGAUUAGUUUGUUGGUGGGGUAAUGGCCUACCAAGACCGUGAUCAAUAGCUGAUUUGAGAGGAUGAUCAGCCACAUUGGGACUGAGACACGGCCCAAACUCCUACGGGAGGCAGCAGUGGGGAAUCUUGCACAAUGGAGGAAACUCUGAUGCAGCGAUGCCGCGUGAGUGAAGAAGGCCCUUGGGUUGUAAAGCUCUUUCGUCGGGGAAGAAAAUGACUGUACCCGAAUAAGAAGGUCCGGCUAACUUCGUGCCAGCAGCCGCGGUAAUACGAAGGGACCUAGCGUAGUUCGGAAUUACUGGGCUUAAAGAGUUCGUAGGUGGUUGAAAUAGUUGGUGGUGAAAUCCCAGAGCUUAACUCUGGAACUGCCAUCAAAACUUUUCAGCUAGAGUAUGAUAGAGGAAAGCAGAAUUUCUAGUGUAGAGGUGAAAUUCGUAGAUAUUAGAAAGAAUACCAAUUGCGAAGGCAGCUUUCUGGAUCAUUACUGACACUGAGGAACGAAAGCAUGGGUAGCGAAGAGGAUUAGAUACCCUCGUAGUCCAUGCCGUAAACGAUGUGUGUUAGACGUUGGAAAUUUAUUUUCAGUGUCGCAGCGAAAGCGAUAAACACACCGCCUGGGGAGUACGACCGCAAGGUUAAAACUCAAAUGAAUUGACGGGGACCCGCACAAGUAGUGGAGCAUGUGGUUUAAUUCGAAGAUACGCGCAGAACCUUACCAACACUUGACAUGUUCGUCGCGACUCUGAGAGAUUAGAGUUUUCGGUUCGGCCGGACGAAACACAGGUGCUGCAUGGCUGUCGUCAGCUCGUGUCGUGAGAUGUUGGGUUAAGUCCCGCAACGAGCGCAACCCUCACUUUUAGUUGCCAUCAUUAAGUUGGGCACUC